rnacentral:tRNA from 1 species
AGCACGGUAGCUCAACGAGUCAGAGUGUCGCCCUCAUAAGGCGAAGGUUGUCGGUGCAAAUCCGACCCGUGCUCCCA